GUCUCAGUGGCGCAAUGGUAGCGGUAAGUUCUCCGUUACUUUCCUAUUGAAUAUGCGCUAAUUCGAGCUUAGCGUUGGACUUCUAGCUGAUUACGUAACCAAGUAAUUUGAUAUCCAAAGGUUGUGGGUUCGAGCCCCACCUGAGAUG